GGAUUUUCCACGGUGGAAGGGAGAAUAAUGAGACGAAGGAUGCAGAAGAGAGCGGGAGUAUUACAUCAUCAAUAAUACCUCCAGGCUGAAAAUUAAUGGGCCAUGUUUAAGAGCACUGUUAUUUGAGAGAAAGAGUCCUGUGCUCAUACUGAUGUCCAUUUAUGCUCAAGAUCAUGGAGCUGGAAAGUACCUAAGCCAGGAGGAUUUAGAUUCAGAUUCUUAAAUUGAUUGGCUCAUGAAAAUAACAGAGUAGCUUAAGUUAAGAAUUCAUUUAAGAGCUUCCCUGAUGGUGCAGUGGUUAAGAAUCCGCCUGCCAAUGCAGGGGACACGGGUUCGAGUCCUGGUGCGGGAAGAUCCCACAUGCCGUGGAGCAACUAAGCCCAUGCACCACAACCACCAAGCCUGCGCUCUGGAGCCCGCGAGCCACAACUACUGAGCCCACAUGCCACAACUACUGAAGCCCGCGUGCCUAGAGCCCGUGCUCCACAACAAGAGAGGCCACUGCAAUGAGAAGCCCGUGCACCGCCAACGAAGAGUAGCGCCCGCUCGCCACAACUAGAGAAAGCCUGCGUGCAGCAACGAAGACCCAACGCAGCCAAAAAUAAAUAAAAAUAAAUUUUAAAAAGUUCAUUUAAAAAGGAGAAAUAAUUAUAAAAAUAUGAACCAAAUUAUAGUCCUUUGUACUCAAAAGCAUAAAAGUUAUGUUGACAAGUAACACAGUAAACAAAGGGAUACAUUUGUUACUCUUAAAUAUAACAUGAGAAAUAUAGUUUCAAUAAAAAUUCUUUCUCAUUUUUAAUGUAUUUUACUUGAAUUUUAUUUUUUAAUAGUUUUGUUUGGGCUUAAUUUAUUAUCUUUAAUUUCAUAGUUGUAUAAAAUGUAUACUUUGUUUUCUUCUGUACAAUAUUUAAGAAACUUUAUAUUGAAUAUAAUUAAAGUCAACUA